AUAGUUGCCUGGUAGGGAGACACCAUGCUCAUGAAGGUAGUUUUCCCAGGGUGAGGGUUCUCUGUUGAACUACCAACGUGCUAACCUCCAUGAUUUUUCCCAAAUGUGGAAAAUUCCACCACAUAAUUUGUGGCAGUGGAGUGCUGUAUUCAUUAUUUUUCCAG
ensembl:snRNA U1 U1 spliceosomal RNA